rnacentral:rRNA from 1 species
UUAAGUGGAUUAGUGGCGAACGGGUGAGUAACACGUGAGUAACCUGCCUUACACAAGGGGAUAGCCUCUGGAAACGGAGAAUAAUACCCUAUAAAGUCUAAUCAGCCCAUGCUGGAAAGACCAAAGAUUUAUCGGUGUAAGAUGGACUUGCGUCUGAUUAGCUAGUUGGUGAGAUAAAAGCUCACCAAGGCGACGAUCAGUAGCCGGCUUGAGAGAGUGUACGGCCACAUUGGGACUGAGACACGGCCCAGACUCCUACGGGAGGCAGCAGUGGGGAAUUUUGCACAAUGGGGGAAACCCUGAUGCAGCGACGCCGCGUGAUUUAGAAGGCCUUCGGGUUGUAAAAAUCUUUUGUAUGGGAAGAAAAUGACAGUACCAUACGAAUAAGGACCGGCUAAUUACGUGCCAGCAGCCGCGGUAAUACGUAAGGUCCGAGCGUUGUCCGGAAUCAUUGGGCGUAAAGGGUACGUAGGCGGAUAAGCAAGUUAGAAGUGAAAUCCUAUAGCUCAACUAUAGUAAGCUUUUAAAACUGCUCAUCUUGAGGUAUGGAAGGGAAAGUGGAAUUCCUAGUGUAGCGGUGAAAUGCGCAGAUAUUAGGAGGAAUACCGGUGGCGAAGGCGACUUUCUGGCCAUAAACUGACGCUGAGGUACGAAAGCGUGGGUAGCAAACAGGAUUAGAUACCCUGGUAGUCCACGCCGUAAACGAUGAGUGUUAGGUGUCUGGAAUAAUCUGGGUGCCGCAGCUAACGCAUUAAGUACUCCGCCUGGGAGUACGCACGCAAGUGUGA